GACGGAGGAUGCAAGCGUUAUCCGGAAUGAUUGGGCGUAAAGCGUCCGCAGGUGGCAGUUCAAGUCUGCUGUCAAAGACCGGGGCUUAACUUCGGAAAGGCAGUGGAAACUGAACAGCUAGAGUAUGGUAGGGGCAGAGGGAAUUCCUGGUGUAGCGGUGAAAUGCGUAGAGAUCAGGAAGAACAUCGGUGGCGAAGGCGGGUCUCUGGGCCGAUACUGACGCUGAGGAGCGAAAGCGUGGGGAGCAAACAGG
rnacentral:rRNA from 1 species